AUACCUGGUUUGUGUGCUCCUAAGGACAAACCUAGAGCCACCAUAUGUGCUAAGCAAGUAUUCUGACUAAGCUACAGCCUUUGACUUCUGUGAUUGUAUCAUCUUCCUUCUACGCUCUAACAGUUUCUGGUCAUCUCCCUAAUCAAAACCACUCAAGAGGUGGGGGCCGGUAGAUCUGUGAGUUUGAGGCCAGCAUGUUCUUCAUACCGAGUUCAAGGACAACCAGGCCUACAUAAUUACAAUCUUUUAAAUUCUGUGUGUUCUUUAAUUUGUCUUAACCACGUGGCAUUUUCUUCCCUCUGCUUUAAUUUUUUUUCUUUUGGUGGAGUGGUGACAGGUCAUAGAUCUUACAGUAGAUAAUCUACUGUAAGGGAUCUACUGUAAGAGUGAGCCCUAGUAUCAUACAAAAAGGAGUUUCAAAGCUCAACACUCACAGUCACAGAAUGAGCUAGCUCACUUCACCAAGUAAUGAAGGCUUAGCCUUUGAAGGAUAUCAUUGACCAUAAAUAUCGAACAGGACCCAGUUCUGUUUAUUGUCACACUACUACCCUGUUGCUAAUUACAGCCCAUAAUAUUGUUCAAUUUGAUUUGACAGAAUUAGCCUUCGUAGAGAAAAGAACUUUAAAAUGUUCUGGUAUUGUAAGUUGCAUAACUGAUCAUUGGUUGAAAAGCAAAUCUUUUCCAUGCUUCUGUUUUGCCUCUGGUGGUUGGUGGUGUUCGUUUGUGGGUUUGGGAUGUUGGAGAUGUGUAUUGGUUACUUUCCUCAUAGUUGUGACCAAGAUACCUCCAAGAAGCAACUUGAGGGAGGCAGGCUUUCUUUCAGCCCAGGGUUUUGAGUAUCACAUGAGAGUGAGGAAGGCAUGGCAGCAGGAAACAGGCAGCAGCAUAAGGCUGCUUGCUCACAUCUGGCCAAUCAGGAAGCAGAGCUAUGCUAUAGCCCUCCACACCUGCCUCUAGGACACACUCCUAGCUAGGUCUUAUCUCUUAUAAAGGUCCUCAACUUCCCCAAACACUGCCACCAGCUAGUGACUUAGUGUCAGAUAUAUGAACCUGUGAGGAACAUUCUGCUUUCAAAUCAUAACAGGAUAGAACCCAGUACAUAAUAGAAUGAAUGGAACCUUUAAUCGGUUGGUAGAGGUAGUUCUUUGCAGGCCUGACCGCUUGCAUUCUACUCCUGGGUCCACAAGGUGGCAGGAGAGAACCCAACUCAGGAUAGUUUUCCUCUGACCUCCACAGGAGUGCUGUCUUUCUUUUUUUAAAAAAAAUUUUAAAAAGGAUUCUUCGUGUUGCUUUGGCUAUCCUGAAACUCACUCUAUAGACCAGGCUAGCCUCAAAAUCUGAGGUCAGCCUGCCUCUGCCUACCAACCACCACCAUCCAGCUAGGUUUUCUUUUUGGAUUCCUGUGGAGCAAAGAGGACACCUUGCAAGAGUUGAUUCUCACCAUGUGGGUCCCUGGGAUCAAACUGGUUGUCAGGCACAGUGGCAAGUGCAUUACUUGCUGAGUCAUCUUGCCAGCCCAGUUACUGGGGUUUGAGAACCAAAGCAAUGUUUUUACUUAGUUUUCUCUUUUAUUUUCAUAUAGGAAGGGCUUUUUAUUUAUUUUUUCACCUUAUCAGAGAUUUUAAACUUACCAGUGUGUAGGAUUAAUCUCUAAGGUGUGUGGAGUUCAGUAGAGUUUGUAAAUUUGUUGGAAUCACAGCUACGGGUGUAGGCUUGUUGUGUUAGUGCCUGCAACUUUGAAACUAGUAAAUCUCAGACUUUAUUAGCUGUUAGACACAGAUUGAAAUUGACACCAUUUCAAAAUCACCACUAGCACUUAACAAUGUCCAAUUUAAAAUGUUUUGACAGAUAUAAUUUUGAUUUUUCUUAUGCAUAUAUACAUUUACUCUUGUUUUUUUGUUGGUUUUGUCUUUUUUUUUUUUUAAGGAUGGGGCUCACUUUGUAGCCUAGACUGGUCUUGAACUCACUAUGAAGAUUACAAUUCCUCCUCCUUCUCUAGCCUCCAGAGACUGGGAUUACAGGUGUGCCCUGCCAUACCCAGUUUAAAAGUGUAUUCUGAUGAGUUCCACAGGUAUUGCCAAAGUGCCCCAAGAAUCUGACACCCCUUAGGGGAAACGAGCGUUACUCCUGUUCCCUGUGAGAGUGAGGCUAGCCAGACCUAUAAAGACACACAGCAGAGAGAUCGUGUCAUAGGAUUAUGUAAUCAUAAUGUCACAGGUUAAGUCACAAAUUCAAACAGAAUAUUUUUCAAUUAGAAAGUGAGGUGCCACCAAUUAAAUGGGUGUCUUAAUUUGACUUGGGCUUUCUGGCCCUGUUUCCAGUAGGUUCAGUUCACAUCAGCAAAUAUACUUCACAUUCAUUGAACUAUACAGUUGGAAGAACCUCUAAAGAGGUCAUUGAACGUCAGCCUUGAAAUUCUUGCCGAUUAGAAGCACACAUCCUUCCUUCAGCCUCUUCUGAUUAUAUUAUAGUACUUACUCUUAGCUCUCUGUCACUUAGAAACCUUAGUUGAGUAGAAGGGAAGCAAGUGGUUUAAUAAUUACUCUAAUUUGAGGGAAAUCAGGUACUCAUUUGGAAAUUGUAUAUUUCUAAUAAAAAACCCAGUAAUUAUUUUAAUGACAACAUAGUGUGAGGUUUAUAUCAUCAGUAAUUAGGAAGGCUAUUUAAAGGCUGGGCAUGAUGUAGUUCAGUUCAGUUGGUGAGUGCUUGCCUAGUUAGUGUUCAGUGUAUUUAGCAAUAAGUCUUUU
ensembl:sense_intronic Gm43581 predicted gene 43581